rnacentral:rRNA from 1 species
GAUGAACGCUGGCGGCGUGCCUAAUACAUGCAAGUCGAGCGAACAGACGAGGAGCUUGCUCCUUCGACGUUAGCGGCGGACGGGUGAGUAACACGUAGGUAACCUACCUAUAAGACUGGGAUAACCUCGGGAAACCGGAGCUAAUACCGGAUAAUAUUUCGAACCGCAUGGUUCGAUAGUGAAAGAUGGCUUUGCUAUCACUUAUAGAUGGACCUGCGCCGUAUUAGCUAGUUGGUAAGGUAACGGCUUACCAAGGCAACGAUACGUAGCCGACCUGAGAGGGUGAUCGGCCACACUGGAACUGAGACACGGUCCAGACUCCUACGGGAGGCAGCAGUAGGGAAUCUUCCGCAAUGGGCGAAAGCCUGACGGAGCAACGCCGCGUGAGUGAUGAAGGUCUUCGGAUCGUAAAACUCUGUUAUUAGGGAAGAACAAACGUGUAAGUAACUGUGCACGUCUUGACGGUACCUAAUCAGAAAGCCACGGCUAACUACGCG